AAAUAACUAAUAAAUAGCCUUUCUGGUCCUGCUCCAUUCGCGUUUAUUGCUUUGAAUUGAUAUUUUUUAUGCUCCUCUCCUCUUAGCUCAACACGUUCCAACCUGGCUCAGUAUAAUAGCCAAACAAACCGAAACUAAACUGUCUAUCCUCUUUUUCUCUCUCUCUGUGUUACCUUCAGCGAGUUUGAGUUCAUGGCGGCCUCAAAACUCGCUUUCCUGUCAAUUCUCUUCGUUUUUGCCAUAAUAUUCACCGCCGUCGGUGUCAGGGCUGAUGUUGAUGAUGAUAGUACAGCUGAGUCGGCUGCUGCCGUUGAUUUGUCCGCGUUGAAGAUCGAACUUGAUCAACUCCAGUCUAAGAUCCACGCACUCGAAUCUCAUAUCGAUGAGAAAACCAAAGAAUUGAAUCUUAAGGAUGUCAUGAUAGCGCAGAAGGAGACAAUUAUUCAAGAGAAAGUUGAUAGCAUCGCGUCGCUGCAGAGUGAAAUCUCAUCUCUUAAGAAAAAAGGGAAGAUUGAUGCUCAGGAGCUAGUUGGGAAGGCGCAUGCUCGUGCAGGCGAGCUAGAGAAACAGAUGGUGAAGCUCUCUAAGGAAUUAGAAACACAAAAACAGGAAAACGAGGCCCUGGAAGCCAGAGCAAGUGAAGCAGAAAAGAAGAUUAGUGAAUUGAACUUUAAGCUAGCAGAUCUUGAAAAGAUUAACGUGGAGCAGAAAAGCAAAAUCCAUAAAACAGAACGUGCUCUUAAAAUUGCUGAGGAAGAACUGAUAAAAACAAAAUCUGAGGCCAUUUCAAAGGCCAAAGAGUUAAUGGAGGUUCACGGGGCAUGGCUUCCACCUUGGCUUGCUGUACAGUUGAUUCGUUGGCAGUCUUUGGCACAGACACGUUGGAGUGAGCAUGGAAAACCUACCAUGGAACUGGCAAUUCAAAAGGCCCUGGAGAAAAAAGCCCAAGCUGAAAAGUGGGCUGAGCCACAUGUGGAAACAAUUAAAACUAAAUGGGUCCCAGCUAUUAAAGAGCAAUGGGUUGUGAUUACUACACAAGUUAAACCUCAUGUGCAAUCAUUAACUGCUAAAACAGUUGAAAUUUAUGAGGCCUCAAAGACUACAGUCACUCCACACAUCAUCAGAGUACAAGAAAUAGGUGAUCCUUACUUUCAGGAAGCUAAAAAGUUCAGCAAGCCAUAUAUUGAUCAGGUUGCUACCAUGACAAAGCCCCAUGUUGAUAAAGUUAAAGUGGCUUUGAAGCCCUACACGAAAGAGGCAGUUCAUGCAUAUGGGAAGUUUUUAGAAUCUGCAACCACAUACCACAAUCAGGUGCAAGUCACUGUACAAGAGACACUGGAAAAGCAUGAGCUCACAAAACCACUUGCAAUGAAAGAGUUGAUCUGGUUCAUUGCCUCUGCUUUGUUGGCCCUGCCUGUCAUUAUUUUGGCCAGAGCUUGUUCUUCCAUUUUCUGCCAAAAGGCAAAGAAACCUGCUAGAAAUGCUCACACCAAUCCCUCUCGUCGCAAGGCUAAACGGGGGCAUUAAGACAAGUAGACUUUUUGGUGCAUUGCUGGGAUUUUCCAUUGCAAUAUAUUGUGAUGGGACUUGUGAUCUUUGCAUGGGCUUUUGGGACUGAUUUUCCAUCCAGGGAGCACCAGCACCAACAAUUUCUUUCCUUUUAGUCUUUGUGAAGAAUGUCUAGAACCUUUCACACUACAAAAGUUUAGAUGUAUUUUGAGUCAUGUUGGUAGAGACCUAAGAGUUGUAAUUUAUUUUUUAUUCUUCUCAAUUUACAGUUGAAAUGACAGAAAUCUUCCCUUUCAUUUUGUUUAUUACUAGAAUUAUGUUUGUUCAGC